rnacentral:rRNA from 1 species
UACGUAGGGUGCAAGCGUUGUCCGGAAUUAUCGGGCGUAAAGAGCUCGUAGGCGGUCUGUCGCGUCUGCUGUGAAAACCUAGGGCUUAACUCUGGGCGUGCAGUGGGUACGGGCAGGCUAGAGUGCGGUAGGGGAGACUGGAAUUCCUGGUGUAGGCGGAUGAAGCGCAGAUAUCAGGAGGAACACCGGUGGCGAAGGCGG